rnacentral:misc_RNA from 1 species
AAAAGGACAUGAAGCUGAGCAAGCAAUACAGAAUAGGGCAACAAGUCCUCAAACAGGGGGAAAUUUAAAGUCCAUGAAAGAGAAAUCCAAUCAGGCAGAAAAAGAAGUGCAGGAGGCUUCUGGAUUAAAGACUGCAGGUCCUGAAGGAGAAAUAACUGCAGGUUUUUUGUCAAAGAAAAGUGUAAAAAAAGAUGGAUGGAGCAAGCGAUGGUUUGUUUUGAAUGAGAAGACUGGGAAGCUUGGUUACACAAUAAAGCAAGAGGAGAGACAUUUUCGUGGUGUCAUCCCAUUGGAGGAAUGCAAUAUUGAAGAGGUUUCAGACGAGGAAGAGCCUCCCUUAAAGAGUUCAAAGGAUAAAAAGGCCAAUGGACCAGAUUCUAAAACACCCAGCCUUGUGUUCAAAAUAACUAGCAAGAUUCCCUAUAAAACCGUUUUGAAAGCCCACAGUGCUGUUGUUUUAAAGGCUGAGACUUUGGCUGAUAAGGUUGAAUGGAUAAACAAGAUAUCAAAAAUUGCACAACCUUCUAAAGGACAAAUUAGAAAUGCCUCUCCUGAAGGUGGUUCUACAUUGCGGCAGAGUCUUUCUGAUGGUUCUCUGGAUACGAUGGUUCGAAGGCCAGCAGACCCUGAAGAAGAGCUUCGGUGGAUGUCUCAAGAAGUGCGUGGUUA